UGAGUUUCUGUGCAAAAACAGCCAGUUUUGCGCAAAAACUCUGCAGUGUAGACAUAGCCCUAGUGAGGUUUACUGUCCCGUGUAGUGGUACUCAGACCACAGCAACAAAUAAGAACAAGAGACCUCUACAGCCUAAGCUGAGAGUUAGCUGGCUUUUAGCUCAAGCAGUAAAGGCUCUACACUAAGCUCCAGAGGUUCCCAGGUUCAGAUCUGCCCAGUGGUGGUUACAUGAGCAUGCUGUGCUCUGUCUUGAUCCAAACAGCCUAGCAGAUGGAGUACUGCUUGGGUAGGUCCCUCAAGCUUCUUGCAAAUGGCCAUUGCCCAUGACUGGAUGAACGUUGGGUGCCUGAAAUCAGACAAACAUAAAUGGCUAUUACCUGGGUCUGUGAAUGGGUGGGUAGGUCCCUUUGUAAGCAGGUACAAAUGGCUGUGAUGGACACUGUUUGCUUUGGGGGAUCGAAGCUGCUGUUUGGGGUUCUUGCUGAGAAGUAGGCUAUUGUGAGGUUUUAGGUUUGGACUCCUGCUUUGGUUUUGGACUGAUCUUUAUCCUUUACACAGUAUUGUUGAUUUUCUCUCUCUCAGGCUGUGUGCGCCACCUUGCCAGAGAUGGUCAGAGUCUUGUCAGAGAAUGGUGCAAACCCAAGGCAUGUCACUGAAAGCCUGACCAUUCUGUCUUGUCAUCCCAGGGCUGGCCAGCCUAACAGCUUUGACAGCUUUGAUCUGAGGAAGUGGGUCUCGCCCACGAAAGCUCAUCACCUAAUAAACCAUCUUGUUAGUCUUUUAAGUGCUACAUCGUCCUGUUUUUUGUUUCAGCUUUGACAGUGGUAAGUGAUACAGACAUGACAUAGCCUAGUACAAUAAGUUACAUAUGCUAUAACAAUUUUCCAUUUCUUCCCUUCCUGUUUUAAGCGCAUCCCAAGGCCAAACCUGAGGAUCAGCUCAGCCAAUGUGUUCUGAACUCCCCAGGUUUUUUGAGUGCAGAGCCUGCUUCUGCUGCUGACUGGUUUGCAGCGAAUCAAUCAACCUUUCGAGCAGGACCACAGGAAGCAGCUUAGCAGUGCUGUGACUUGCCACAAACAUCUGAUUUCCAGCUGGAGCUGAUUUGUUGUUGUACGAACACAGUUACUCACCUUGCAACAAUUGUAGGACAACUAGCCAAGAUGAGGUAAAUGUCCACAUUUAGUAAACAUGUAGUUGCAUAUCUUGUAUUAGGAUAGGCAGUCAGUAAGUUGGCCCUGUGUGUGCUGAUGGGAAAACACAUGGGCUGUGUCUAUACUAGGCCACUUAUUCCGGAAAAUCAGCCACUUUUCUGGAAUAAGCUGCGAGCUG